UACGGGGGGGGCAAGCGUUGUUCGGAAUUACUGGGCGUAAAGGGCUCGUAGGCGGCCAACUAAGUCAGACGUGAAAUCCCCCGGCUUAACCAGGGAACUGCGUCUGAUACUGGAUGGCUUGAGUUUGGGAGAGGGAUGCGGAAUUCCAGGUGUAGCGGUGAAAUGCGUAGAUAUCUGGAGGAACACCGGUGGCGAAGGCGGCGUUCUGGACUGCUACUGACACUGAGGAACGAAAGCCAGGGGAGCAAACGGG
rnacentral:rRNA from 1 species